rnacentral:rRNA from 1 species
ACUCCUACGGGAGGCAGCAGUGGGGAAGUAUUGCACAAUGGGGGAAACCCUGAUGCAGCCAUGCCGCGUGUGUGAAGAAGGCCUUCGGGUUGUAAAGCACUUUCAGUAGGGAGGAAGGUAGUGUAGUUAACACCUGCAUUAUUUGUACGUUACCUACAGAAGAAGCACCGGCUAACUCCGUGCCAGCAGCCGCGGUAAGUACGGAGGGUGCGAGCGUUAAUCGGAAUUACUGGGCGUAAAGCGCAUGCAGGCGGCCUGUUAAGUCAGAUGUGAAAGCCCGGGGCUUAACCUCGGAAUUGCAUUUGAAACUGGCAGGCUAGAGUCUUGUAGAGGGGUUAGGAAUUUCAGGUGUAGCGGUGAAAUGCGUAGAGAUCUGAAGG